GAUCAUGGCUCAGGACGAACGCUGGCGGCGCGCCUAACACAUGCAAGUCGAACGAGAGAUGUAAGAGCUUUGCUCUUCAAAUUCGAGUGGCGAACGGGUGAGUAACGCGUGAGGAACCUGCCUCAAAGAGGGGACAACAGGUUGGAAACGACUGCUAAUACCGCAUAAGCCCACGGCUCGGCAUCGAGCAGAGGGAAAAGGAGCAAAUCCGCUUUGAGAUGGCCUCGCGUCCGAUUAG
rnacentral:rRNA from 1 species